GACGAACGCUGGCGGCGUGCUUAACACAUGCAAGUCGAACGGAAAGGCCCUGCUUUUGUGGGGUGCUCGAGUGGCGAACGGGUGAGUAACACGUGAGUAACCUGCCCUUGACUUUGGGAUAACUUCAGGAAACUGGGGCUAAUACCGUAUAGGAGCUCCUGCUGCAUGGUGGGGGUUGGAAAUUUUCGGCGGGUGGGGAUGGACUCGCGGCUUAUGAGCUUGUUGGUGGGGUAGUUGCUUACCAAGGCUUUGACGGGUAGCCGGCCUGAGAGGGUGACCGGCCACAUUGGGCCUGAGAUACGGCCCAGACUGCUACGGGAGGCAGCAGUGGGGAAUAUUGCACAAUGGGCGGAAGCCUGAUGCAGAAACGCUGCGUGCGGGAUGACGGCCUUCGGGUUGUAAACAGCUUUCGCCUGUGACGAAGCGUGAGUGACGGUAAUGGGUAAAGAAGCACCGGCUAACUACGUG
rnacentral:rRNA from 1 species